rnacentral:rRNA from 1 species
UACAGAGGGGGCAAGCGUUAUUCGGAAUUAUUGGGCGUAAAGGGCGCGUAGGCGGCUUGGCAAGUGGAUGGUGAAAUCCCUCGGCUUAACCGAGGAACUGCCGUCCAAACUGCUUCGCUUGAGACCGGGAGAGGUGAGUGGAAUUCCCAGUGUAGCGGUGAAAUGCGUAGAUAUUGGGAGGAACACCAGUGGCGAAGGCGGCUCACUGGACCGGUACUGACGCUGAUGCGC